UGCGGUCAUGGCGGAAUGGCAGACGCGCCAGCUUGAGGGGCUGGUGGGAGUAUCUCCCGUGGAAGUUCGAGUCUUCUUGGCCGCAUC
rnacentral:tRNA from 1 species